AAUAUUGCACAAUGGGGGAAACCCUGAUGCAGCGACGCCGCGUGAAGGAAGAAGGUAUUCGGAUCGUAAACUUCUAUCAGCAGAGAAGAAGAUGACAGUACCUCACUAAGAAGCCCCGGCUAACUACGUGCCAGCAGCCGCGGUAAUACGUAGGGGGCAAGCGUUAUCCGGAAUUACUGGGUGUAAAGGGUGCGUAGGCGGCACUGCAAGUCAGAUGUGAAACCCAAGGGCUCAACCCUUGGUUUGCAUCAGAAACUGUGGAGCUAGAGUGCAGGAGAGGAAAGUGGAAUUCCUAGUGUAGCGGUGAAAUGCGUAGAUAUUAGGAGGAAUACCAGUAGCGAAGGCGACUUUCUGGAAUGUAACUGACGCUGAGGCACGAAAGCGUGGGUAGCGAAC
rnacentral:rRNA from 1 species